rnacentral:lncRNA from 1 species
UGUUCCGAAGUCUAAUGGCACUUUGAUCUAAGGGAACCUGCAAUUGUAGAACCUUCCAAACUUUUAGUAUCUCUUCAUGAGUUAAUAUAUAGGAUGGAAUCAUGCUUGAAUCCAUCAAGUAUGGAGAGAGUUACAGUCAAUUAUGUGUCACCCGACUUUUGGACUCCCGUAAUGACAGUUUUUGGUUUUUCUUUUUUGAGGGAAAGACUUUAAGUGAAAUCCCUAAAGUAUCUUGAAUCCUGGUGGAUAGAGUCAUACACCCACAACUUCACCACCACACCAAGAGGUGUUUCACGACAGUUUUUAGUUAUUAAAGAUUGGAACGUCCAAUGUGCAUAUGCUGUUCAUGAAGUAAAUAUGCCCUAGAGGCAAUAAUAAAAGUAUUAUUUAUAUUCUUGUUCAUUAUUAAUGUUUAUUUUUUUUAUGCUAUAACUGUUGUGAUUUUUGAAUAUGAGAUUCGAAGGAAAACUCAUAAGCACGUGUAGAGAGAUAAACACCAAGUUGUUCCUAGUCCCGCUCUAGGACUAGCUCAUGUGUCGUAUGAUGAUCAUGUUUUCCUUGAUCAUGGCAUAGUCAUAGUAACAAGGAUGCCUAUGACAAUGAGAGCACAUUGUUAGAAGAAUAAGGGUGUUGAACCGAUCCAAUUCCAUGAUAUACUACGAGAUCAUUUCGUCACUUGUUGUUAGUAGUAUCAUAAGAUUGUUAUCGUAUACUCACGUCCUUAGACCAUGAGAAUAUCAAGUCUUCAUACGAAAGAUUUACUUUCAUGGUUAUCAAAAGUUAC